rnacentral:rRNA from 1 species
UACGUAGGGUGCAAGCGUUAAUCGGAAUUACUGGGCGUAAAGCGUGCGCAGGCGGUUAUGUAAGACAGAUGUGAAAUGCCCGGGCUCAACCUGGGAAUUGCAUUCGAGACUGCAUAGCUAGGAUGCGGAAGAGGGAAGUGGAAUUUCCGGUGUAGCGGUGAAAUGCGUAGAUAUCGGAAGGAACAUCAGUGGCGAAAGCGACUUCCUGGUCCAGCAUCGACGUCAGGCACGAAAGCGUGGGGAGCAAACAGG